GAUGAGAACGUAGCGAAAUGCGAUACUUGGUGUGAAUUGCAGAAUCCCGUGAACCAUCGAGUCUUUGAACGCAAGUUGCGCCUCAAGCCAUUAGGUUGAGGGCACGUCUGCCUGGGCGUCACAUAUCGUUGCCUGAUGCCAGUUUCCUCGUGAUGGGUGACUGUGCAGGGCGAAUGAUGGCUUCCCGUGAGCAUUGUUGCCUCAUGGUUGGUUGAAAAUUGAGUCCUUGGUAGGGAGCGCCGUGAUAGAUGGUGGUUGAGUGACGAACGAGACCCAAUCAUGUGAGACCCCUACCGAAUUUGGCCUUCAUGACCCACAUGCGUCUUUGGAACGCUCAUGACGAGACCUCAGGUCAGGCGGGGCUACCCGCUGAGUUUAAGCAUAUCAAUAAGCGAGGA
rnacentral:misc_RNA from 1 species